GGCACAACGAGGCUGUUAGGCUGCCUCCCAGCCCACCUCACACUUCUGGGGCAUCAAGUAGAGGAAGGGCAGCAAGCUCACACUUGCCCCUGGAAAGGCUCUGCCCAAGGAACAUGGGGAUGUGAGCUAAAGAAGAAAAACUAUUUUGCAGAGGAAGAUCAAGAUGGUGCCUACAAAUUACUUUCCCUAAUACUAACCAGCUGUUGGAGGUUUGCUUCCAGUUGAAUGGAUCCUGGUUGGCUUCAUUGUGCAAUUGUACAAGUCCUGAUGCCAGCACAAAUAAGGGGCAAUGGAAAAGCCAGCUAUGCAGACAGAGCAGAGGUUUAUUCUCUCAGCAGCUGCAUUGGCUUAGGCCAUCCACAAACACAUGUGGGAUGCCUCCUCCAAGAAAAGCUUGAUGCAACCAUGUCAAAUAUAAAACCCUAUGAAAUGAUUAAUCAGACUCUUCUGCAAUUCUGCCACAGACCCUAGCAUGGACUUGCUCCUCCCUGUACUGCACCCUGCUCAAUUUCUGUGUGCUGCAUCCUUUUCAAAUACUCACACGGCACAAUCUGGAGGACAGUGCUUUGAAGGGGAAUGAGUCUAUAUAACACCAAAUCAUCUCCUGCUGAGCACCACCAAAUCAUCGCAGCCUUGGACAAUCAACUGAUUUUGUUGUUUAUAUUGCCCUAAAGGCUACAUUUCAAAACCUGAAAUGUAUGGAUUGGAAAAGCUGACAACAAUUCAAGCUGUUUGAUGGUGCCGUAGAGACCUUAUUUGAAAAGUUUCCUUUCAAGGGAGGGAAUAUAACCAACAUCCAAAUCAACUCCCUCCAAAGUUAUGGUGAACAGAAAGUCUUCAAAAUACUUAGAAUCUGAUUUAAGCUAACAAGUCAAGGAAACAAGUGUUAAAACUCAAAACUCCUGCUUGAUGCUCUAUUUGUAGUUCAUCCAGUGGUAAUGAGCCAGAUUCUUCCCUAGUAUAAAUGGGCAUAAAUACACUUAAGCCAUGCAAGAAUGUUGAUUUAUGCUUGCUACAAAUCUGACCUUUAUUUCAGUACUUCAUGGUAAGCUCCAAUCCUCUUUGCACUGCUCAUUUAUUGGAAUGGAAUGAGAUUUACUAAGGUAUGCUCAGAAGAAAUGGAUUACUUUCCCCAUAAAUUUUUGUGCCAGGGAUAAAAUGGUGGUUUGUUUCGAUGUAAAACUGUUAAUAAGAUAGUUUUGUCGAAGGAACGUCAGAAAUUAUAUUAUCAUUCAUUUCAAUGCUGCACAUUUUUUAUUUCUCAGAGUUACACCCAGUGAGUACAAUAUGAUCCACAAAUUACAACCUUCUUGGAAAUGUGAGAUAAAUCUGCAGAAUGGAAGUUGAAAUAAGUUUAGCUAAUAAGCAAUUGCAUAAAAGCUAAAAUACAUGAAGCCAAACAGUUUGAUGAAAUGUAUUGGAAGGAAUAUACCCUUCUGUUUGCUUAGCUGAAACAACAUUGCAACAAAUGACCUUAUGUUCUUUAUUUCUAAGUCCACAAUCAUGCACGGAGGCUCAGCCCACUGCACAAAGCCAGACUUAUCAGAAGAUGAUAAUGAAGAAUUUAUUUUAUUAAUUUUAAAUAUAACACUCCUGACUUUUGACUAUGCUAACUGCAUGGUAAAUACAGCUUAUCACUGCAGAGGACCAUGCUGAGAAAAUUGCAUGUGAAAUUACACUACUGUGAAGUGCUCAACAUGGGGGCUGCACUCAAAAGAUGGAGCUCACGUAGGAGGCAGCAGCCCAUUUGCUACAUUCUGUUUCUCACAGGUAACAUCUUACCCUGAUGUUUUCAGUCUACACUAGCUCUUGAUUAUCUUCCUGAUGAUGACUGAAGACUUAGUUUGCAUUGAAUUGUCUACAGCUUGGCCACCAGGUAAUGACUUCUCCUGUAAUGCAGUGGUACAACCAUAGGUGUAUUAAGGUUAGUAUGGAUGAGUUAUGAAUGGCAAUGUACAAGUGUGAAAUCAUCAAGAAACAACAAGAAGGGGAAAAGGAAUGGUAAAUACAGCUUCUUGAUGGUACCUGGGUCUGGAAAACCAAGGGCUGCCUCCUGGGUGGAUCACAGACCUAUGUUCUAGGCAGCUGUUCUCCAACCCUGACUCCUAGCUCUAUACUGGAGGUAGCUUGCUUCUAGCCUUGUCCCCUAGGUGGACCUUGGACUUCUGCUGUAGCUUUGUCCUCAGCCCCAUCUGCUGGGUAAACCUUGGACCUAUGUUGCAGAAUUGUUUCAAGUCUUUUCUCUGGUCCCCAUCUCCUGCUACUGCUGGAGGAUCCCUGGACUUGAUUUGUUUGGGUCUGUUGAUGGACACUGCUGUCAGAAUCCAGGUCUGCGUGCCAUGUUUAGGGACAGCACCCAGGCAGUGAAGGCACUGGGUGACCCUCAGCUCCUGGCUACAUGACCACACACAUCUCCAUCUUCGUACACAUGAAAGGACUUAGUCUGUGAGAGAAGGUAUGUGUGAAAUCAGCUUAAAAGAAACUUCCCUUCCUGUGUGGUUUUGCAUUGAACUUUGCUACAUUAGCCAAACAGAAGCAAAGAAACGCUCAAGAUGACACUCUGAUCUGAUAGACAAGUGCAAGGUAUUUGUGCUCUUGAUUCUGGAGCUUGUUCCCUGAUCACAUGCAAAAGAGACUGGAUUUGUUAAUCUUGGAAUGCAGGGCAGGGAUACUUGGUGAUCUGGGCAUGAGUUUCUUCAAGGCAGGGAAAAGAGGAGAUGAAGAGCUGCAAUUGGUAUAGGAGCUGAGUUUCAAGAAACCACUCGUUUCAAGUUCUUUUAAUUUGGCAGCUUUUUUUUGUUGUUGGUUUUGGUUUUGGUUUUUUAAUACUAUUUCCCCCCCUCCUGUACAACAUAGUAGAGAUCUGUAAAACCAUCUGGGAGUUGAACUUUCAGAAAUGCCAUAGCCCCCAAAAAUGAAGUAGAUCUUCAAAUCAGGCUUUCAGCACUGCUUGGGAAACAAAUCCAAAUACUUCUCUGUUUGAAAAGAAGAUGCUCUGGCACCAGAGCAAUAUGAGAAAACGUACGAUUCAUUCGACCUGCUGCAGCUGCUGCAGCCCUCUGCAGCCGCAUGUGGCAAACACAAAUUCCCAGCUUCGCAGGCACAUACCGCCAUGAAGAGCUUCCAGUACUUUCAGUAAAAAACAGAGAAACCUUCGGUGUGCUCUUUUUUGUCUCCUUACCUCUCGGGAGCGCCCUGCGGGAGGAUCUCCCCCCGGAGGGGCCGUUCAGCGCAGCAGGCUGUGCACAGCAGGGCGGGCGGACCGGCUGGCACCAGGGCAGGGUCGCGGGGGCUUGUCUGAACGUGCGGUUCCGCAGCGCGGGCUCCAGCUGCUCCUGUGCUCAAGACAAGACCGCCACCUGCUGCCACGCACCCGGCGCGGCGUGACAGUGCCGCGGGAGAGGCCCCGUCUCCCCCGUGGGGCAGCGCCUCGGCUCCUCGGCUGCCACUGUGUCCGUUCUUGUAGCCUGUUUCCUUCUCUGCUCCCCGUUAGGAAGAGCAGACGCCUGUCGCCAGUCACGCCAGCAGCCGGCAGGGGCCCCGCGCUGCGUCCUCCUGGGGUGUCACCCACCCUGCCAGGUGGGGACGGAGAAGGACGCUGAGUCAAAGUAGACGAGUCAAAUCUGGCCAGCAGGCACGCAUAUAUCUCUAGAUGUACACGUGUGCACUCACCGCUGCUCAACAGUGCUAACUAUUGCUUUUUAUGCGCCUGAAAUACCAGCUGAGAGUUUAUAUUCUGUGCAAAUACUUGGCCUCUUACUUGGGAGCUCAGAUGAAAUGCAGACAGGGGGUUAGUUCAGAGUAGCUUCUGAGGCAAAGAGCUUGCCAGCACGCAGUGAUGGAUCUGCUGAACUGGGGUUUUCUUAUCUGGGAUGCUCUUCGUGGAGAGGUUCCUGUUUCUCCAGCAUCUAAAUCAGCCUAAUCCUGCCAUGGAGGAAAGCCCUCAUUGCUUUGCAGUCUGUCCUACAUGUGUUGUCUGAGUUCUUAACUCUCCCAUGUCUGGGCACCAGGGCUGCUCCUCAAUGUUUAAAUGCUGUUUUCUUCACAUUUACUGUAAUGGUGGGGGUUUUUUCAUUGCCUUUUUAGCAACUUUGGAAGGGUAGUUAUUUUUAUAAAACAAUCCUUUAUUUGCAUCUUAUUUUCAUCAUUCUUAUUCAUCUAUUGCUCAUUUAAAUAGUUUGACCUACUGACUAUAUAUCCUUAUACCUGUAUUAUAAGAGCUGUUUUUUGUUUAGUUCUCAUAUAUUGUAUCUUUGGAUUUUUGGCAUGUUUAAGCAACGGGCACUGUCUAGAUACUUUAGGUAACUAAACUGUUGAAUAAGCUAAACAGCUAAAUUAAAUAUAAGUAUUGUCAUUUUCCCCCCA